rnacentral:hammerhead_ribozyme from 1 species
AUUUGGCUGACGAGUCCAAAAAAGGACGAAAUGUGCGUCCCACUAGAC